UACGUACGAGGCGAGCGUUAUCCGGAAUUACUGGGCGUAAAGGGCGCGUAGGCGGCUGUACAAGUCAAAGGUGAAAUCCCUCGGCUCAACUGAGGAACUGCCUUUGAAACUGUACGGCUUGAGGCCGGGAGGGGGUAGCGGAAUUCCCAGUGUAGCGGUGAAAUGCGUAGAUACUGGGAGGAACACCAGUGGCGAAGGCGGCUACCUGGACCGGUUCUGACGCUGAGGCGCGAAAGCGUGGGUAGCAAACAGG
rnacentral:rRNA from 1 species